CCUACGGGAGGCAGCAGUGAGAAAUAUUGGUCAAUGGGCGCGAGCCUGAACCAGCCAAGUAGCGUGAAGGAUGACUGCCCUACGGGUUGUAAACUUCUUUUAUAAAGGCAUAAAGUGAGGCACGUGUGCCUUUUUGUAUGUACUUUAUGAAUAAGGAUCGGCUAACUCCGUGCCAGCAGCCGCGGUAAUACGGAGGAUCCGAGCGUUAUCCGGAGUUAUUGGGUUUAAAGGGAGCGUAGAUGGGUUGUUAAGUCAGUUGUGAAAGUUUGCGGCUCAACCGUAAAAUUGCAAUUGAUACUGGCAGCCUUGAGUCCAGUUGAGGUAGGCGGAAUUCGUGGUGUAGCUGUGAAAUGCUUAGAUAUCACGACGAACUCCGAUUGCGAAGGCAGCUUACUAAACUGCCACUGACAUUGAUGCUCGAAAGUGUUGGUAUCAAACAGGAUGAGAUACCCCUGUAGUC
rnacentral:rRNA from 1 species